UACAGAGGUCCCAAGCGUUGUUCGGAUUCACUGGGCGUAAAGGGUGCGUAGGUGGCCGGGUAAGUCUGACGUGAAAUCUCCGAGCCUAACUCGGAAACUGCAUCGGAUACUAUCCGGCUUGAGGGUUGGAGGGGGGACUGGAAUACUUGGUGUAGCAGUGAAAUGCGUAGAUAUCAAGUGGAACACCAGUGGCGAAGGCGGCCUUCUGGACAGUGACUGACGCUGAGACGCGAAAGCGUGGGGAGCAAACAGG
rnacentral:rRNA from 1 species